rnacentral:rRNA from 1 species
UACGUAGGGGGCAAGCGUUGUCCGGAAUUAUUGGGCGUAAAGCGCGCGUAGGCGGUCCUUUAAGUCUGAUGUGAAAGCCCACGGCUUAACCGUGGAGGGUCAUUGGAAACUGGAGGACUUGAGUACAGAAGAGGAGAGUGGAAUUCCACGUGGAGCGGUGAAAUGCGUAGAGAUGUGGAGGAACACCAGUGGCGAAGGCGACUCUCUGGUCUGUAACUGACGCUGAGGUGCGAAAGCGUGGGUAGCGAACAGG